rnacentral:rRNA from 1 species
UACGUAGGGAGCAAGCGUUGUCCGGAAUCAUUGGGCGUAAAGCGCGCGUAGGCGGCCCUGUAAGUCCGUUGUGAAAGUCAAAGGCUCAACCUUUGAAAGCCGAUGGAUACUGCAGGGCUAGAGUUCGGAAGAGGCGAGUGGAAUUCCUGGUGUAGCGGUGGAAUGCGUAGAGAUGUGGAGGAACACCAGUGGCGAAGGCGACUCUUUGGCCUGUAACUGACGCUGAGGCGCGAAAGCGUGGGGAGCAAACAGG